ensembl:snRNA U1 U1 spliceosomal RNA
GUAGUUACCUAGCAGGGGGUACCAUGAUCAAGAAGGUGGUUUUCCCUGGGCAAGGCCUGUCCUCACUCAGGAUGUUGACCCCUGCCAUUUCCUCAAAUAUGGAAAAAUCAAGGAAAUUGACUGCAUAAUUUGUGGUAGAGGGGGAUUGUGUUCAUGUGCUAAAAUUCUUA